rnacentral:rRNA from 1 species
AUGUUUAAUUGCCACAUCAACGUCGAGGUCUCCUCUAGCAUAAAGGCUGUAAAAUACAUUUAUAAGUACAUCUAUAAGGGUCAUGAUAAGGCUUCUUUCAGCAUCGACCAGCCAGACGUUGAUGGAAACAUUGAUGAGAUUAAGAGAUACGUUGACGCAAGAUGCCUCUUCAUUCCUCCGGAGGCUAUGUGGAGGAUAUUUGGUUUCCCACUAUGUGCCAAUUAUCCGCCUGUCUUGCAGUUGCCUCUUCAUAUCUCGAAUAUGCACAGGGUUGCAUUCAAUGCACAAGCUGACUUGAAGAAUGUUGUAUCCUUCGAGAAUGCUUCAAAAUCCAUGUUAAUAGAGUAUUUCAAGGCAAACGAAAAACACCCUUGGGCAAGGCAUAUAUUGUACAAGGAUUUCCCCGGAAGCUUCACGUGGGAGAAGAGAAAGAAAUUUUGGAAGAUGCGGGUGGAGCAUUUUCAAAUAGGUCGUAUCGUGUCUGCCAAUCCUGCCGAGGGGGAGCGAUACUACCUUCGUGUGUUGUUGAACCAUGUUCCGGGGGAAACAGGAUUUGAGGACUUGCUCACCGUCGACAGCGUGGUAUGUGAGAGCUUUAGAGAGGCCGGUGAAAGGUUGGGACUCAUCGAGGCAGACAACACGCUCGACGACUGUCUUACUGAGGCGGAGCAGUGGGCUAUGCCAUGCUCUCUUAGGAGGCUCUUUGCAACAAUCUUGGUGCACUGCGAGCCAGGCAAUGUGCACGGUUUAUGGGAUAGACACCUUGAUCCUAUGUCUGAUGACUACCGUCGGACAUGCACGUCUCAGAACGAGGUGUAG